rnacentral:rRNA from 1 species
CUACGGGUCGCAGCAGUAAGGAAUAUUGCACAAUGGGGGAAACCCUGAUGCAGCAACGCCGCGUGGACGAAGAAGGCCUCCGGGUCGUAAAGUCCUUUUCUGAGGGAAGAGGAAGGACGGUACCUCAGGAAUAAGUCUCGGCUAACUACGUGCCAGCAGCCGCGGUAAAACGUAGGAGGCAAGCGUUAUCCGGAUUCACUGGGCGUAAAGGGCAAGUAGGCGGUUGUUUAAGUUAGGUGUGACAUCUCUCGGCUUAACUGGGAGGGAGCGCUUAAAACUAGGCAACUAGAGGGCGGAAGAAGGGGGUAGAACUCCAAAUGUAGCGGUGGAAUGCUCAGAUAUUUGGAAGAAUACCAGUGGCGAAGGCGACCCCCCGGUCCGUGCCUGACGCUGAGAGGCGAAAGCUAGGGUAGCGAACGGGAUUAGAUACCCUUGUAGUC